AGAACCGAAACCGAGAGGGGAAAUUAAGAAAGGAGAAGAAGUCGUCGGAAUUUUUGUCGCCCUUCCGCCAUUGUUCCGCCGCCGUCCGUCGCCGCCCUCCCUCGUCGUUGUCCCUCGUCGCCGUCUGCCACUUUAGAAACAAUACAAGGACAUGAAAAAUUAGGUGUGGCGGUACCCAUAUGUGGCUACAGUCCAUGUUCGAACCAAGCGCAUGUAAACGUCGAGUGGGGAUAGAGAGCGAUAUGUGCGGUCGAGGUGGGGGAUAGGCUUGCUUGGAUAAUGCUUGCACCUCAUUACGGGCGUGUUCUCGGCAUGCUUUCCUCUGUUCAUUAUGUUUAUGUUUUUUCUAAGCAUACGCACCUCGUUGGGAGACUUUUCAUUAUCUUAUGCGUACUUUUCCUUAAUUUCUAUGACAGAUGUUUUUAAGACAUUGUCAUGUUAAAUUAUUUAGAAAAGUAGAAAAAAAAUAAAAAGAAAAAGCAUUGAUAGACUUC